rnacentral:rRNA from 1 species
UACGUAGGGGGCUAGCGUUGUCCGGAAUCAUUGGGCGUAAAGAGCGUGUAGGCUGCUCGGUAAGUCCGCUGUAAAAAGUCAAAGGCUCAACCUUUUGAAAUGUCAGUGGAUACUGCCGGGCUAGAGUCCGGAAGAGGCGAGUGGAACUCCUGGUGUAGCGGUGGAAUGCGCAGAUAUCAGGAAGAACACCAACGGCGAAGGCAGCUAACUACGCGAUAAUUGACGCUGAUGCACGAAAGCGUGGGGAUCAAACAGG